AAGAAAUUGAGCGCAUGGUUGCUUUUGCGUCCCAAAAGAAUGAAUAUUAGAAAACAUUUAAAAAAAGUCUAAGUUUGCUCUGAGCGCUUGUGUUGUUUACCAAGAAAAUGCAGCCCUGUUGGUUUUUAUUUCUGUAUCGCAUCGCGACUAUUAAUUACAAG